CGGACGGGUGAGUAACGCGUGAGAAUCUGGCUUCAGGUCUGGGACAACCACUGGAAACGGUGGCUAAUACCGGAUGUGCCGAAAGGUGAAAGGUUAACUGCCUGAAGAUGAGCUCGCGUCUGAUUAGCUAGUUGGUAGAGUAAAAGCCUACCAAGGCGACGAUCAGUAGCUGGUCUGAGAGGACGAUCAGCCACACUGGGACUGAGACACGGCCCAGACUCCUACGGGAGGCAGCAGUGGGGAAUUUUCCGCAAUGGGCGAAAGCCUGACGGAGCAAUACCGCGUGAGGGAGGAAGGCUCUUGGGUCGUAAACCUCUUUUCUCAGGGAAGAACACAAUGACGGUACCUGAGGAAUAAGCAUCGGCUAACUCCGUGCCAGCAGCCGCGGUAAUACGGAGGAUGCAAGCGUUAUCCGGAAUGAUUGGGCGUAAAGCGUCCGCAGGUGGCAAUGUAAGUCUGCUGUUAAAGAGUCUAGCUCAACUAGAUAAGAGCAGUGGAAACUACAUAGCUAGAGUACGUUCGGGGCAGAGGGAAUUCCUGGUGUAGCGGUGAAAUGCGUAGAGAUCGGAAAGAACACCAAUGGCGAAAGCACUUUGCUGGGCCGACACUGACACUGAGAGACGAAAGCUAGGGGAGCAAAUGGGAUUAGAUACCCCAGUAGUC
rnacentral:rRNA from 1 species